UACUUGAUCUUGACACUAUCCUACUUGGAUAACUGUGGUAAUUCUAGAGCUAAUACAUGCAUUAAAGCUCUGACCUCACGGGAAGAGUGCACUUAUUAGACCAAAACCAAGCGGCUUCGGCUGUUUCUGGUUGACUCAUAGUAAUUGAGCUGAUCGCACGGUCUUGCACCGGCGACGUGUCUUUCAAGUAUCUGCCGUAUCAACUUUCGAUGGUAGUGUAUCUGACUACCAUGGUGAUCACGCGUAACGGAGAAUAAGGGUUCGACUCCGGAGAGUUCGCCUGAGAAAUCGCGAACACAUCUAAGGAAGGCAGCAGGCGCGAAAAUUACCCACUCUCAGCACGAGGAGGUAGUGACGAAAAAUAACGAGACCGUUCUUUUAUGAGGCCGGUCAUCGGAAUGGGUACAAUUUAAACCCUUUAACGAGUAUCUAUGAGAGGGCAAGUCUGGUGCCAGCAGCCGCGGUAAUUCCAGCUCUCAAAGUGCAUAGAAUUAUUGCUGCGGUUAAAAAGCUCGUAGUUGGAUCUGUGCCAUAGGACGGGGUCUACCUUCGGGUACGCACUUCGCUCCUAGGCUUUUUGCUGGUUUUCCCGUCGUAGCCUUCCCUGGUUGCGGCGGGUGGCUGGCGAGUUUACUUUGAGAAAAUCAGAGUGCUCAACACAGGCGUAUAGCUUGAAUGAUUGUGCAUGGAAUAAUAGAAAAGGAUUUCGGUCCUCUUUUAUUGGUUUUGUGGACUGAGAUAAUGGUUAACAGGGACAAACGGGGGCAUUCGUAUCGCUGCGUGAGAGGUGAAAUUCUUGGACCGUAGCGAGACGCCCUACUGCGAAAGCAUUUGCCAAGAAUGUCUUCAUUAAUCAAGAACGAAAGUCAGAGGUUCGAAGGCG
rnacentral:rRNA from 1 species